GUGCGGGCGCACGCCACCUUUACUCAGCCACACGGGCCCCUCUCCGGGGGGCUUUUUCUUAAAGGGGCAACCGCUGGAAGAAACGGAGCACCGCCGCCCGGGACGCCCCUCAGGCCCGGGGUUACUACGGUUUCCCCAACUCGCAGCGUUAGCGUCAGGCCACCAAAGUGAAGAUGGGUGGUGAAAGGACCACAGAGCCCGAUAGAAGAGAAAACCUAGGAAAAAUUAGUGAAAGACGCCCCCAACCAAUGCUUUGGCGGCCACGCUGAGUCCUAACGUACUGAGCCCACUCGACGGGGCCCGUGCGCACAGGCGGCUCCAAAGGGCGGGUUUCGGCUUUCCUUCCACCUCGCAAAAGUCCAGUGAGCGCUCUAGGUUUCUCAUGGCUACCCCCUGCCCUCUCCCCGUGCUGGGGAGUCUCGGGGGCUGAGCAGUGGCAGAGGGAGGAGCGGCUGCCGCGGUCCCUGUGCUUUUUCUCUGGCGUGAGGGUCUCAGUGGCCUUGGGCUCUGCUUGGGCCGUGGCUUGAAGGUUGGAGGUGUCGCGGUGCGCUUGGGUUUUUUCGCUUUCUUUCAAACGCUUGCUUCCUGGCGCUCCCCACCCCCCAGCGUCCCUUUGGCUCCAUCUUUCCAGAAACUUCUCUGAGAAACUCAGCAAAAAGCAUCCAAUUUCGCCACUGCUUCCCCCUCCGCGCAUGCGCGAGACGCCAAGCGGAAAGCCUUUGGCGCGCCGGAGUGUGAGAGUGGUGCGUGAGCGCGCGCGCGCUCGCCGUGCGGGGGCGGUUCUCUCUGACAAUGAAGGGAAAGAAUUCCCCCUCCCCUCAACAUUCCGUCCUCGCGCAAGCGCGUCGGAGCCACUUCCUUGGCCUUUGAGGGAAGGGGGAGGGGUCGUCCCGAAGCGCGCUAGUCGUGUUUCCGCGCGCCUGCGCACGGGGCCGUUUUCGUCUCGCUGUGUUGUCCGCGAGUCUUUGCUGUGAAGUGCGUCUGAACAGCUCGCUUGUGCCCGACCUACUUUUUCCUUAAGGCCCACUCGCGGAAACUAGUUUCUUGUGGGGUUAUCGAUUCUGUACCCCGAGUUUCCUGGAGAUUAGUCUCCCCUUUGUGCCCCGGGGAUGAGGCUGGACGGCGUCGCGCUGGCUUGUCUUCCACCCCUUCCCGCGCCAUGUUUGGAACGGCUGUUGACUGGAUCCCGUGUGGAGUGUGAUGGAGCCUUCUCGAAACGGGAAAACAGUCCUGGCCGAAGGCUUGGGUGGUGCCUGGGCCGGCUUAUAUUAGGCACUGCGUAGAAUGUUUGCUCACUAAGCCCAAAGAAAGGUGUCUUUUUUUUUUUUUUUUUGAGACGGGAGUCUCUUGUCAUCCAGGCUGUAGUGCAGUGGCGCAGUCUCGGCUCACUGCAACCUUCGCCUCCCGGGUUCAAGCGAUUCUCCUGCCUCAGCCUCCCAUGUAGCUGGGACUACAGGCGCCCGCCAAUACGCUCGGGUAAUUUUUGUAUGUUUAGUAGAGAUGGGUUUCACCAUGUUGGUCAGGCUGGUCUCGAACUCCUGAGCUCAGGUGAUCCGCCCACCUCGGCCUCCCAAAGUGCUGGAAUUACAGGCGUGAGCCACCGAGCCCGGCUUUGCCCCCAGCCUGGGAACGGGGUCUUGCUGUGUUGCCCAACUGUUUUGGAAGUCCUGACGUCAAGAGAUCCUUCCGCCAGGGCCUUCCAAAGUGCUGA
rnacentral:lncRNA from 10 species